rnacentral:rRNA from 1 species
GUCUACGGCCAUACCACAUUGAAAACACCGGUUCUCGUCUGAUCACCGAAGUUAAACAACGUCGGGCCCGGUUAGUACUUGGAUGGGUGACCGCCUGGGAAUACCGGGUGCUGUAGACU